ensembl:rRNA 5S_rRNA 5S ribosomal RNA
GGCCACAGCCAUAUCACUCUGCAGCCCAAAAUCGGUUACUAGCUGAAGCCAAGCAGGGCUGAGCCUGGUCAGUACCUGAAUGGGAGACCACAUGGGGAAACAAGGUUGCUGUUGGUA